GGAAGUGUCGCCUAGUGGUCUAUGGCGCCUGUCUUGAAAACAGGUUGGCGAAAGCCUCGUGGGUUCGAAUCCCACUACUUCCUCCA
rnacentral:tRNA from 1 species